rnacentral:rRNA from 1 species
GUCGGCGAGCGGCGGACGGGUGAGUAACACGUAAGAACUUCCCUGUAUAGAUGGGGACAACCAAGGGAAACUUUGGCUAAUACCGAAUAAACUCGAGAGAGGAAAGGUGCCUGGCAACAGGUGUCGCUAUACGAGAGGCUUGCGUCUGAUUAGCUAGUUGGUGGGGUAAAGGCUCACCAAGGCGACGAUCGGUAACUGGUCUGAGAGGACGACCAGUCACACUGUUGUACUGAGACACGGCCCAGACUCCUACGCGGAGGCAGCAGUGGGGAAUCAUCGGACAAUGGGGGCAACCCUGAUCCAGCGAUG